rnacentral:rRNA from 1 species
UGGGGAAUUUUGGACAAUGGGCGCAAGCCUGAUCCAGCCAUUCCGCGUGCAGGACGAAGGCCUUCGGGUUGUAAACUGCUUUUGUACGGAACGAAAAGGCUCUGGCUAAUACCUGGGGCUCAUGACGGUACCGUAAGAAUAAGCACCGGCUAACUACGUGCCAGCAGCCGCGGUAAUACGUAGGGUGCAAGCGUUAAUCGGAAUUACUGGGCGUAAAGCGUGCGCAGGCGGUUAUGUAAGACAGAGGUGAAAUCCCCGGGCUCAACCUGGGAACUGCCUUUGUGACUGCAAAGCUGGAGUGCGGCAGAGGGGGAUGGAAUUCCGCGUGUAGCAGUGAAAUGCGUAGAUAUGCGGAGGAACACCGAUGGCGAAGGCAAUCCCCUGGGCCUGCACUGACGCUCAUGCACGAAAGCGUGGGGAGCAAACA